AUACGGAGGGUGCGAGCGUUAAUCGGAAUUACUGGGCGUAAAGCGCGCGUAGGCGGUCUGAUCAGCCGGUUGUGAAAGCCCCGGGCUCAACCUGGGAACGGCAUCCGGAACUGUCAGGCUAGAGUGCAGGAGAGGAAGGUAGAAUUCCCGGUGUAGCGGUGAAAUGCGUAGAGAUCGGGAGGAAUACCAGUGGCGAAGGCGGCCUUCUGGACUGACACGGACGCUGAGGUGCGAAGGCGUGGGUAGCAAACAGGAUUAGAUACCCGGGUAGUCCACGCCGUAAACGAUGUCGACUAGCCGUUGGGGUCCUUGAGACCUUUGUGGCGCAGUUAACGCGAUAAGUCGACCGCCUGGGGAGUACGGCCGCAAGGUUAAAACUCAAAUGAAUUGACGGGG
rnacentral:rRNA from 1 species